rfam:Phalacrocorax carbo contig121158, whole genome shotgun sequence.
UCAAUGGCUUUUUUCACACUUUGAAAGCCACCCAAAGUCAUAUGAGAAUUUAG